rnacentral:rRNA from 1 species
UUGAUCGGAGUUGAGCAUUCCAAUAUAACUCCCCUUCAGACGACUUUUCUGCGCUUGCCCAACAACUUUGGUUUUAUGGACCAGGACCAAUUUAAGCUUAGACCAUGGUCAAGUCAUAACUGAUUGGAUAACAUUCUCUUAAGCACCUGCAAAACUCUAUAA